rnacentral:rRNA from 1 species
UGUCACGUCUGCUGUGAAAGCCCGAGGCUCAACCUCGGGUGUGCAGUGGGUACGGGCAGACUAGAGUGCAGUAGGGGAGACUGGAAUUCCUGGUGUAGCGGUGAAAUGCGCAGAUAUCAAGAGGAACACCGAUGGCGAAGGCAGGUCACUGGGCUGUUACUGACGCUGAGGAGCGAAAGCAUGGGGAGCGAACAGGAUUAGAUACCCUGGUAGCCCAUGCCGUAAACGUUGGGCACUAGGUGUGGGGGACAUUCCACGUUUUCCGCGCCGUAGCUAACGCAUUAAGUGCCCCGGCCUGGGGAGUACGGCCGCAAGGCUAAAACUCAAAGGAAUUGACGGGGGCCCGCACAAGCGGCGGAGCAUGCGGAUUAAUUCGAUGCAACGCGAAGAACCUUACCAAGGCUUGACAUGGACCGGAUCGCUGCAGAGAUGCAGUUUCCCUUCGGGGUCGGUUCACAGGUGGUGCAUGGUUGUCGUCAGCUCGUGUCGUGAGAUGUUGGGUUAAGUCCCGCAACGAGCGCAACCCCUAUCCUAUGUUGCCAGCACGUAAUGGUGGGGACUCAUGGGAGACUGCCGGGGUCAACUCGGAGGAAGGUGGGGACGACGUCAAAUCAUCAUGCCCCUUAUGUCUUGGGCUUCACGCAUGCUACAAUGGCCGGUACAAUGGGUUGCGAUACUGUGAGGUGGAGCUAAUCCCUAAAAGCCGGUCUCAGUUCGGAUCGAAGUCUGCAACUCGACUUCGUGAAGUUGGAGUCGCUAGUAAU